rnacentral:rRNA from 1 species
UUUAUGGAGAGUUUGAUCCUGGCUCAGAGUGAACGCUGGCGGCGUGCCUAAUACAUGCAAGUCGAACGAUGAAGCUUCUAGCUUGCUAGAAGUGGAUUAGUGGCGCACGGGUGAGUAACGCAUAGGUCAUGUGCCUCUUAGUUUGGGAUAGCCAUUGGAAACGAUGAUUAAUACCAGAUACUCCCUACGGGGGAAAGAUUUAUCGCUAAGAGAUCAGCCUAUGUCCUAUCAGCUUGUUGGUAAGGUAAUGGCUUACCAAGGCUAUGACGGGUAUCCGGCCUGAGAGGGUGAACGGACACACUGGAACUGAGACACGGUCCAGACUCCUACGGGAGGCAGCAGUAGGGAAUAUUGCUCAAUGGGGGAAACCCUGAAGCAGCAACGCCGCGUGGAGGAUGAAGGUUUUAGGAUUGUAAACUCCUUUUGUUAGAGAAGAUAAUGACGGUAUCUAACGAAUAAGCACCGGCUAACUCCGUGCCAGCAGCCGCGGUAAUACGGAGGGUGCAAGCGUUACUCGGAAUCACUGGGCGUAAAGAGCGCGUAGGCGGGAUAGUCAGUCAGGUGUGAAAUCCUAUGGCUUAACCAUAGAACUGCAUUUGAAACUACUAUUCUAGAGUGUGGGAGAGGUAGGUGGAAUUCUUGGUGUAGGGGUAAAAUCCGUAGAGAUCAAGAGGAAUACUCAUUGCGAAGGCGACCUGCUGGAACAUUACUGACGCUGAUUGCGCGAAAGCGUGGGGAGCAAACAGGAUUAGAUACCCUGGUAGUCCACGCCCUAAACGAUGGAUGCUAGUUGUUGGAGGGCUUAGUCUCUCCAGUAAUGCAGCUAACGCAUUAAGCAUCCCGCCUGGGGAGUACGGUCGCAAGAUUAAAACUCAAAGGAAUAGACGGGGACCCGCACAAGCGGUGGAGCAUGUGGUUUAAUUCGAAGAUACACGAAGAACCUUACCUAGGCUUGACAUUGAGAGAAUCCGCUAGAAAUAGUGGAGUGUCUAGCUUGCUAGACCUUGAAAACAGGUGCUGCACGGCUGUCGUCAGCUCGUGUCGUGAGAUGUUGGGUUAAGUCCCGCAACGAGCGCAACCCCCUUUCUUAGUUGCUAACAGGUUAUGCUGAGAACUCUAAGGAUACUGCCUCCGUAAGGAGGAGGAAGGUGGGGACGACGUCAAGUCAUCAUGGCCCUUACGCCUAGGGCUACACACGUGCUACAAUGGGGUGCACAAAGAGAAGCAAUACUGCGAAGUGGAGCCAAUCUUCAAAACACCUCUCAGUUCGGAUUGUAGGCUGCAACUCGCCUGCAUGAAGCUGGAAUCGCUAGUAAUCGCAAAUCAGCCAUGUUGCGGUGAAUACGUUCCCGGGUCUUGUACUCACCGCCCGUCACACCAUGGGAGUUGUGUUUGCCUUAAGUCAGGAUGCUAAAUUGGCUACUGCCCACGGCACACACAGCGACUGGGGUGAAGUCGUAACAAGGUAACCGUAGGUGAACCUGCGGUUGGAUCACCUCCUUUCUAGA